UCGUUCAUCAAACGUCUCCAAAUCACACCAAAAUGUCUUCCAGCAAUUAUUCUAGCGAUGAAAUUUCAUCAAUAGAUAGUGACUCCUCAUACUCCGAUGCCUCCUUAUCCCAUUUUAGUGAUUCUUCCCAAGAAAAUGAGCCCGACAAAUUUUCAAAAUAUUAAUUAGUCCCACUCGUAGAGAUACGAGUUUGUUGUCGAAUAACGGACCAUCGACGAGCGGAACUGGCCCCAGAAAACAGCUGAAAAGGAAUCAGAAAACACAACCUGCUGAAGCAACACGCAAGAAGAAGAGCAAGUCUUCCAAGUCCGAGAAUGUGUCUGCGAGGUAUGUCCUUACUAAGUAGAAAUCUAAAUCUAUUGUUGA